rnacentral:rRNA from 1 species
GACGAACGCUGGCGGUAUGCUUAACACAUGCAAGUCGAACGAGACGAGAUGGAAGGAUCCUUCGGGUGACGGAAAUCUUAGAAAGUGGCGAACGGGUGAGUAACGCGUGGGUAACCUGCCCUAUGGAAAGGAAUAGCCUCGGGAAACUGGGAGUAAUGCCUUAUAAUAUAGUGAAGUCGCAUGGCGUUACUAUUAAGCGCUCCGGUGCCAUAGGAUGGACCCGCGUCCCAUUAGCUAGUUGGUGAGAUAACAGCCCACCAAGGCGACGAUGGGUAACCGGUCUGAGAGGGCGAACGGUCACACUGGAACUGAGACACGGUCCAGACUCCUACGGGAGGCAGCAGUGGGGAAUAUUGCGCAAUGGGGGAAACCCUGACGCAGCAAUACCGCGUGAGUGAAGAAGGUUUUCGGAUCGUAAAGCUCUGUUAUUGGGGAAGAAAAAAGACGGUACCCAAGAAGAAAGUCCCGGCUAACUACGUGCCAGCAGCCGCGGUAAGAC